UACGGAGGGUGCAAGCGUUAUCCGGAUUCACUGGGUUUAAAGGGUGCGUAGGCGGGUUGGUAAGUCAGUGGUGAAAUCUCCGAGCUUAACUCGGAAACUGCCAUUGAUACUAUCAGUCUUGAAUAUCGUUGAGGUAAGCGGAAUAUGUCAUGUAGCGGUGAAAUGCUUAGAUAUGACAUAGAACACCAAUUGCGAAGGCAGCUUACUAAACGAUUAUUGACGCUGAGGCACGAAAGCGUGGGGAUCAAAC
rnacentral:rRNA from 1 species